rnacentral:rRNA from 1 species
UACAGAGGUCUCAACCGUUGUUCGGAUUCAUUGGGCGUAAAGGGUGCGUAGGCGGUCGCGCAAGUCGGAUGUGAAAUCUUAGGGCUCAACCCUGAAACUGCAUUCGAUACUGCGUGGCUAGGGUACUGGAGAGGAGACUGGAAUUUACGGUGUAGCAGUGAAAUGCGUAGAUAUCGUAAGGAAGACCAGUGGCGAAGGCGAGUCUCUGGACAGUUACCGACGCUGAGGCACGAAGGCCAGGGGAGCAAACGGG